rnacentral:miRNA from 1 species
UACAGUGAUCAGGUUACGAAGGA